rnacentral:rRNA from 1 species
CUGGACAUAUCUUUAAUGAUUCUUCCGCAGUGACACUUCCUGAAGCCUUUGUACUCUUGAAAAAGAUAGCCACCGCGACUUAAAAUAAGGAGGCAAUGCAAGUUGACCCUGCUAAGGUCAGCAACAUAAUCGAAUUGCGGGGAUCUCCUAAAGCCUAAUAGUACCAACUACUUCGUGGAAACAUAAGUAGGGCCCGUGUUAAUCUCACGGGAGAUGGUAAAAAUCUAUUACGAUACUACAAUGGACUAUCCGCAGCGAAGCCCCUACCGGUGAAAACCUAUGGGGAACGUUCACAGACUAAGUGAUUAUGGGUCAGAUUGAGUUCUGUCUUAAGAUAUAGUCGGGCCCUUAGUGAAAGUUAAGGGACUAAGUCACUAUCGAUUUAGAAAUAGAUAGAAAUUUAAAACUCUAUCUAUAAAACCGUUCCGUAGGUGAACCUGCGGAAGGAUCAUUACAGAGUUCAUGCCCCCCGGGGUAGACCUCCCACCCUUGAAUAUAUACUAUUGUUGCUUUGGCGGGCUGCCACAAGGCAUCGGCCCUGGCUGAUUGCCCGCCAAAGGACCCCAACUCUGUAUUAAGUGAUGUCUGAGUACUAUUUUAAUAGUUAAAACUUUCAACAACGGAUCUCUUGGUUCUGGCAUCGAUGAAGAACGCAGCGAAAUGCGAUAAGUAAUGUGAAUUGCAGAAUUCAGUGAAUCAUCGAAUCUUUGAACGCACAUUGCGCCCUUUGGUAUUCCGAGGGGCAUGCCUGUUCGAGCGUCAUUAGUACCAAAUCAAGCUCGGCUUGGUGUUGGGGCUCGCCGUUAGGCGGCCCUUAAACUCAGUGGCAGUGCUGCCGGGCUCUAAGCGUAGUAACUUUCUCGCUAUAGGGUCCCGGGAGAUACCCGCCAGAAUCUUUUUAUAACUGGUGA